rnacentral:lncRNA from 1 species
GUGAAAGGGAGGAAGCAGAGAUCUGAAAGGGAAUUGAGAGUUGACAACAGUGCUGCAGGAAUUUGAGGAUGAAUCGUGCUGCUGAGCUGAGAGUCUCUGGGGAAAGAACUGAUCUUGAAAGGGUGUGUGGAGCGGGAGGAAAAGAGAAGGCUCAGAAAAUCCUAAUGCAUGUUGCAGAACUGAAACCAUGAGCCAAACCUGGCUGUCUGUGCAGUGCGCUCAUUUGCCUCCACGGCUGGAGCAGAACGAGCCCAGUAAUGAACUUGGGUUUACCAGCAGUAGCACUGCGUGUGGGGCUGGACCUGUCAGUCUUGCUCUCGCUCUCUCACUUUACAUCUGAGUUCUACAGUGUUUAUCAGCAGGGACUUUUCAAAUUUACAAGCAGCAGCAAGCUUCCCCCAGUCUCUUCCACUCAACACAGUUGUCAAAUCCAGCGUUUCUGCCCAGCCUGAAGUAGCGCAUGCUUAUUUCUGAGAGAAUGGCCACCAGACUGCAGCCAGUGCUUGCAGAGCUCACGGUGCCCUACAAAUGAAGACCUCUUACGCCUGGGAAGCUGAUGCCAGCCAGGGUGGGAAGGGCGAGAAGGCGGCGAGUGCUGUAUUGUGCUUCAGGGACCUAUGGCACAGCCAAGCAGCUUCCCAGCGUGGAGUCCUGCCCUCGGGACCUGUUGCUGCCCAGGCAGUGGGAAGGUAUUGCAACAUCCUCUGCGGCUGCAUAUGCUGACCUCCAGAAAUGUUUGAUCCGUGAUGUUUCAGAGACGGAGCUAAAACCAGCCCGUGCUCACCGACUAAUCAUCAGCACUGCGUGCACGUGGGGCUUCAGCCUGAGGUCCAGGAAGUACGGCUCCUGUAAUUUGCAUCCAGAUAUCAGGAAGCGAUGCGUUAUGAGAACAUCUCAUCUACCGCCAGGGAUGAACCCGCAGAAAUCACUUAUACCAACAGAUUCACAGGUUGGCACCCCAAGCCCCAUCAGCAGCCGUCCGAGUGGCCCCGCUCCUGCUCGCCGCGGGCACCUUCGAGGAGCAAAGGCAAAAUUUGAUCCCGAUGGAUGCAAAAGGUUGACAGCCCUAAGAGCAGAGCGGAGAGACAAAGUCCCAGCUGCCGCCUUGGUGUUUUGGUUCUGGGGCCAGCCCGGAGCUCUGCCCCUCACCUCAUCUUGACCUGCUGAGUUCAUCCUUCCUGGACGUCACAGGGGCUAGUCCUCUCUCUGCUUUUUUCUGGCCA